GCACAAGCGGUGGAUCAUGUUGUUUAAUUCGAUGAUACGCGAAGAACCUUACCAGGUCUUGACAUCCCCUGCAAAGCUAUGGAGACAUAGUGGAGGUUAUCAGGGAGACAGGUGGUGCAUGGUUGUCGUCAGCUCGUGUCGUGAGAUGUUGGGUUAAGUCCCGCAACGAGCGCAACCCUUAUUGCUAGUUACCAUCAUUCAGUUGGGGACUCUAGCGAGACUGCCAGUGAUAAACUGGAGGAAGUGGGGAUGACGUCAAAUCAUCAUGCCCCUUAUGACCUGGGCUACAAACGUGAUACAAUGGCUGAAACAAAGGGCAGCGAAGCAGUGAUGUGGAGCGAAACCCAAAAAAGCAGUCUCAGUUCGGAUUGAAGUCUGCAACUCGACUUCAUGAAGUCGGAAUCGCUAGUAAUCGCGGAUCAGAACGCCGCGGUGAAUACGUUCUCGGGGUUU
rnacentral:rRNA from 1 species